GACGAACGCUGGCGGCGUGCUUAACACAUGCAAGUCGAACGGAAAGGCCCUGCUUUUGUGGGGUGCUCGAGUGGCGAACGGGUGAGUAACACGUGAGUAACCUGCCCUUGACUUUGGGAUAACUUCAGGAAACUGGGGCUAAUACCGGAUAGGAGCUCCUGCUGCAUGGUGGGGGUUGGAAAGUUUCGGCGGUUGGGGAUGGACUCGCGGCUUAUCAGCUUGUUGGUGGGGUAGUGGCUUUCCAAGGCUUUGACGGGUAGCCGGCCUGGGAGGGUGACCGGCCACAUUGGGACUGAGAUACGGCCCAGACUCCUACGGGAGGCAGCAGUGGGGAAUAUUGCACAAUGGGCGGAAGCCUGAUGCAGCAACGCCGCGUGCGGGAUGACGGCCUUCGGGUUGUAAACCGCUUUCGCCUGUGACGAAGCGUGAGUGACGGUAAUGGGUAAAGAAGCACCAGCUAACUACGUG
rnacentral:rRNA from 1 species